UCCAGACUCCUACGGGAGGCAGCAGUGGGGAAUAUUGCACAAUGGGCGCAAGCCUGAUGCAGCCAUGCCGCGUGUAUGAAGAAGGCCUUCGGGUUGUAAAGUACUUUCAGCGGGGAGGAAGGUGUUGAGGUUAAUAACCUCAGCAAUUGACGUUACCCGCAGAAGAAGCACCGGCCAACUCCGUGCCAGCAGCCGCGGUAAUACGGAGGGUGCAAGCGUUAAUCGGAAUUACUGGGCGUAAAGCGCACGCAGGCGGUCUGUCAAGUCGGAUGUGAAGUCCCCGGGCUCAACCUGGGAACUGCAUUCGAAACUGGCGGGCUGGAGUCUGGUAGAGGGGGGUAGAAUUCCAGGUGUAGGGGUGAAAUGCGUAGAGAUCGGGGGGAAUACCGGUGGCGAGGGCGGCCCCCUGGCCAAAGACUGACGCUCAGGUGCGAAAGCGGGGGGAGCAAACAGGAUUGAUACCCUGGUA
rnacentral:rRNA from 1 species